rnacentral:rRNA from 1 species
UACGUAGGGGGCAAGCGUUGUCCGGAAUCAUUGGGCGUAAAGAGCGUGUAGGCGGUUCGGUAAGUCCGCUGUGAAAGUCGGGGGCUCAACCCUCGAAUGCCGGUGGAUACUGUCGGGCUAGAGUGCGGAAGAGGCGAGUGGAAUUCCUGGUGUAGCGGUGAAAUGCGCAGAUACCAGGAGGAACACCAAUUGCGAAGGCAGCUCGGCUGGGACGUAACUGACGCUGAGGCACGGAAAGCGAUGGGUAGCAAAC